GUCUCCCAGAAGAAUUGAAGUUAUUUGUCACCUCGGUGUUAGUUUGAAAACAUUUUCUUUUUGUUUGUUUUUGAGUUUUCCAAAAUGGAUUUCAGAUUUCUGCCUUCUUUUUGACUACCUGUUGCAAGCACAAGAAGAGAGAGGCAGACUCUCUCUCUCUCCUCUCUCUUUGGAAUCGGACUGGAACCAAAAUGAACACCUGCUCUUGGUCGUUAAAGGCAAAGAAGAAACUGUUUCUAAAAACUCAUAUUCAGCAGAGAGACUAAAAGUAUAAUUUGGCAUUGUCAACAGGUUUUCGAGCAGCGGACAAGAGAAACGCCGGAGAGACAGAUAGAGAGCGAGAGAGCGGGCGAGCGAUCAAGAGACGCCUCACACGCUGACCAGUGUGGAACGGAAAUUCCAGUACAGCCAUCGUCAGCAUUCCAGCCGUCUCCACCACAAUUCUCAGCCAAGCCAGCCUAACCGUAGACGGCGAAUUGCUGCGUUCAUUUGGAACUUGAUUCGAGCAGCGUGCGGUUGUGUCUUUGGUCUCAGCUCUUAGGGCUAAUCUAUACAUAACCAUACAAUAUAAUCUAAGUAAUUUAUUUUACUGUACAAAAUUGAAAGUACCUUUUAUUCUGUGCAUUUGAGGUGGCAAAUUAAUUGAAUAUUUGUUUACCGUGAUCUACACAGAUAGAUUAAAUUGGAUCGAUUUCCGUGUUAAAUCAACUGAAAGUGUGAUGUUAACCCCGUAAGAUUCAUACAAAAAAGCCACGUGUUGGCCAAAGAUUAGAAAAAUAAGUAUUUUACAUUUAAAUUGGCUGAGAUUGAGACACAAAAACGACAGCAAUAGCUCAAUAAAUCAAGAAAAUAUUCAUAGAAAAUAUUAAAAACAAAAAAAAAUAUUUUAUCUAGACUAAAACUUAUAGAAAAAUUCAUUCCCUUAUGACGUCAUUCUUUUAGCUAGAAUUAUGCUGCAGUUUAUCUUAAGUCUAUUGUAAAAGAGAAAAAAAACAGAGUCGGUUUAAAUUACAUAAUAUGCCAAGAUUUUCUACAUUUUGAAUUCACUUAAGAUAAUAAGUGGAUUUAUACCUUGGCAGUUUUUGAUUUUCUGUAUUUACAUAUAAGUAUGCUCUCAAUUGGUUUGGAUAGCCAAAGAGAUGUCUUUCAUUUCAAAUUUUCAUUAAAAUCGACAUUAAAAUCUAA